AUUGAACGCUGGCGGCAGGCCUAACACAUGCAAGUCGAGCGAGCGGCGGGCGGGUGAGGAAUGUCUGGGAAAAUGCGCGAGGGAGGGGGAGAACUACUGGAAAAGGGAGCUAAUACCGCAUACCAUCAGAGGUGCGCAGAGGGGAUUAGCUAGUGGGUGGGGUAACGGCGCCCCUAGGCGACGAGCCCUAGCUGGUCUGUGAGGAUGACCAGCCACCCUGGAACUGAGAAACGGUCCAGACUCCUACGGGAGGCAGCAGUGGGGAAUAUUUCGCAAUGGGCGCAAGCCUGAUGCAGCCAUGCCGCGUGUGUGAAGCAGGCCUUCGGGUUGUAAAGCACUUUCAGCGGGGAGGCGUUACCCGCAGAAGAAGCACCGGCUAACUCCGUGCCAGCAGCCGCGGUAAUUC
rnacentral:rRNA from 1 species